rnacentral:rRNA from 1 species
GAUGAACGCUGGCGGCGUGCUUAACACAUGCAAGUCGAACGGGAUCCAAGGGGUGCUUGCACUUUUUGGUGAGAGUGGCGAACGGGUGAGUAACACGUGAGUAACCUGUCCUUUUCUUUGGGAUAAGCAUUCGAAAGGGUGUUUAAUACCUUAUGUUCUGUCUGCCUCGCAUGGGGUGGGUGGGAAAGGCUUUGGCCGGAUUUGGGUGGGCUCGCGGUCUAUCAGCUUGUUGGUGGGGUGAUGGCUUACCAAGGCUUUGACGGGUAGCCGGCCUGAGAGGGUGGUCGGUCACAUUGGGACUGAGAUACGGCCCAGACUCCUGCGGGAGGCAGCAGCGGGGGAUAUUGCACAAUGGGCGAAAGCCUGAUGCAGCGACGCCGCGUGGGGGAUGAAGGCCUUCGGGUUGUAAACUUCUUUUGCUCUGAACAAGGCAUGCCAGUGGGUGUGUUGAGUGUAGGGGUUGAUUAGCGCCGGCUAACUACGUG